GUGGGGAAUUUUGGACAAUGGGCGCAAGCCUGAUCCAGCAAUGCCGCGUGCAGGAAGAAGGCCUUCGGGUUGUAAACUGCUUUUGUACGGAACGAAACGGUCCUGGUUAAUACCUGGGGCUAAUGACGGUACCGUAAGAAUAAGCACCGGCUAACUACGUGCCAGCAGCCGCGGUAAUACGUAGGGUGCAAGCGUUAAUCGUAAUUACUGGGCGUAAAGCGUGCGCAGGCGGUUUUGUAAGACAGGCGUGAAAUCCCCGGGCUUAACCUGGGAAUUGCGCUUGUGACUGCAAGGCUGGAGUGCGGCAGAGGGGGAUGGAAUUCCGCGUGUAGCAGUGAAAUGCGUAGAUAUGCGGAGGAACACCGAUGGCGAAGGCAAUCCCCUGGGCCUGCACUGACGCUCAUGCACGAAAGCGUGGGGAGCAAACAGGAUUAGAUACCCUGGUAGUCC
rnacentral:rRNA from 1 species